CGGGAGGGCGAGCGCGGCAGAGGUGAGGGUCUCCUGCUCCCGCUGCUCGUGCACCUCCGGGGAGGGGUUGACGGGAGGUCGCGGGGUCCGCCUCUAACAAGUGCCCCGCCGUGUUGGUUUUGGUUGAGAUCUCAGGCUUGAUCCGCGCUAGGCACUGCAACGAGGAGCUCCAAUCUUGAUAGCGAGCGGAGGCAAGGGCCGGCAGUCCGGCAGCUAGGGAGCGGCGGCCGACGCGGACCGGACGCAGCAGGGAAGGCGGCGGUGGAGUGGCGGCCCUCGCGUGUCUGGCUCUGGAGAUUUGUGCGGCAAGAACGGGAGAGGAAGAACAGGAGAGGAGGAGAAAGAGAAUUGGAGAGGAGAGAGAACAGUGCAGUUGAAUGGAGGGGUAAAUAUGUCUUUUGCAAACUAAUGUGCUAAAGUUUAGCACUGUAUCCAAAC
rnacentral:lncRNA from 1 species